rnacentral:lncRNA from 1 species
AGACCGAGUCGAGUGGCAUAAUUGGCUAAGGUAAAUGUAAUCUUAGGAAAGAAUGACAAUUGAGUAAAGUGUGGCUAAGAAUAAAGAGUAAAAAAUAGCAAGUAAUAAAGAAUGUCUAACAAUAAAGAAUGGCAAUGAUAGAGAGUAAAAUCGUUUAAUUUACUUGCAUAGUUGCAUGAAUUUCAUAUUGCAUAUUGUGAGGCAUAUUCAUGUAUUUUAAUGUUGCAUAAAAUACUUGUGGAUAUCUGUUGGACUAACAUGAUUGGAGUGCCUCCUUGGACCUGGUGGGUCGAGCUUUUUCCUUGGGUGGCCGUACCCACUGGAAACUAUGAACAAUAGUUCUCACCUCCGUGAUGUUUUUGGGGGUACUGGUUUACACGUGAGCGGCGCGGCGGCGCGAGGAAAGGGCAUAACUCCGUAGUUAGCAUCCUACCACCGAGACCAGAGAUAGAAGUACCCUAAGUCGGCUUAGCUUAGGGGUAUAGAAAUGUAAUGAUCAAUGUUGUAAUAAUUAUGUUAAGAACUUGAUGGUAUUUGGAAGCUAAAAAGAAAAGUAAAAGUGUAAUAUGUGAUGAAAAAUGUAAUAUGUGAGUUGAAUGCAUGUAAUAACUUAGUUGUUUAUGUUUUCGAUACUUUCCUUAUGUUGUUCCUGGUUGGAACCUAACGCAUUGUAUGGAUUGUGACGCCUUGGACGUAC